rnacentral:tRNA from 2 species
GGGAGCAUAGUAUAGCUGGUUAAUAUCAGAGACUUCUAAUCUCUUGUUCUCAGUUCGAGUCUGAGUGCUUCCA